rnacentral:rRNA from 1 species
GACGUAGGGAGCGAGCGUUGUUCGGAGUUACUGGGCGUAAAGCGUGCGUAGGCGGUGUCUUACGUUUGUUGUGAAAUCUCCCGGCUUAACCGGGAGGGUGCGGCGAAUACUGAGAUGCUGGAGUGCGGGAGAGGUAAGCGGAAUUCCUGGUGUAGCGGUGAAAUGCGUAGAUAUCAGGAGGAACACCUGCGGUGUAGACGGCUUACUGGACCGUAACUGACGCUGAGGCACGAAAGCGUGGGUAGCAAACAGG